rnacentral:misc_RNA from 1 species
UUUCCGUAGGUGAACCUGCGGAAGGAUCAUUCAUAAUAAAGUGUUUUAUGGCACUUUUUAAAAAUCCAUAUCCACCUUGUGUGCAAUGUUAGAUCUCGUCAAUCUAGGCGAGAUUUUUAUACAUCAACUCAUUCUUUAACUAAUUUGUCUGAAAAAUAUUACGAAUACUUAAUUCAAAAUACAACUUUCAACAACGGAUCUCUUGGCUCUC